GAUGAAGAACGCAGCGAAAUGCGAUAAGUAAUGUGAAUUGCAGAAUUCAGUGAAUCAUCGAAUCUUUGAACGCACAUUGCGCCCCUUGGUAUUCCGGGGGGCAUGCCUGUUCGAGCGUCAUUAUAACCCUCAAGCCUAGCUUGGUGUUGGAGCAUGCUACCUAGCAGCUCUUAAAAUCAGUGGCAGUGCCCUUCGGCUCUAAGCGUAGUAACUUUUCUCGCUACAGAACCCAGAGGGUACGCGCCAAAACCCCCAACUUUCUAUGGUUGACCUCGGAUCAGGUAGGGAUACCCGCUGAACUUAAGCAUAUCAAUAAGCGGAGGA
rnacentral:misc_RNA from 1 species